AUACUUACCUGGCAGUGUGAUACCAUGAUCACGAAGGUGGUUUUCCCAGGGCGAGGCUUAUCCAUUGCACUGUAGGUGUGCUGACCCCUGCGAUUUCCCCAAAUGUGGGAAACUCAACUGCAUAAUUUGUGGUAGUGGGGGACUGCAUUUGCGCUCUAA
rnacentral:snRNA from 1 species